CGCUGCUUCAUUCGCCCGAUACCGAAUGCCUAUUGCCCGUCUCUGUCUCCUUUGUCGCUGCUGCAGUCGCCUAAUGCCCAUCUCUUAUCCAUCUCCUGUCUCUCAUCCCGUAAAUUAGUAACUCCGCCGAUCCCAUCGAUCGGUUUUUUCUUUUGCUCGAAGUAAAGCGGCGAGAAGAAAGAGGCCGGGUUUUUAUUGGAUCUUCUCGCCUGUUUUCAUCGUUCCGGAUCAUUGGACACAUCCGAACAAUUUGGAGAUGUCGGUGAGCUACAAAUAUUGGGAUGAUUGUGUGGAUUCGGAGGAAAUGCAAUUGUUGUGGAAGGACGCGGAUGUGUGCAAGGAAUGGAUCGAUGCGGGAGAAAAGAUGGGUAAGAAGGUUCUCCUCUCACGAGAUCCUGAGGGACAGCUGUAUCUCACGCAAACAGAAAUGAGGGCUGUUGCUGAAAUUGUUGUCCAUCUGCACUUCAAUUCACAAUUGGCAUCGGAUAUGAUAUGUGCUCUUGCUGAAAUUGUCAGUGACAGACAACUUCAGGCAGAGUAUUAUGAUCGAAAGACAAAGCAGGCUAGAAUUGGCAUAAUGCAGAUAGCUCCAGAAAAUGCAGAAUGGCUUGUCAGGGAAAUGGGCUACCGGAACUAUGAAAUAGAGGGAAUUUCAACAUUGCUAUUCAGGCCAUUUGUGAACGUCUACUUUGGAGCAGCUUAUCUAAAGUGGCUAUCCUAUUGUGAUGGAAAAGAAAGGACUGAAGAGUUUGUCAUUAGAGCUUACAAAGGGGGUAUCAAGAAGGCUACUCAUAAGUCAACAGCUGACUUUUUCCAGCGUUAUCUAUCCAUCAAACAGAGUUUGCUCCCCAAGAGGGAAGAGGAGAUAUCUGAUGCUUUGCAUACUGCUAGACCAAUUUCUGUGACUUCAGGAUCAGGUGAAGGGUGGACAUACUGGGACUAUAGAGUAUCAUCAGAAGACAUGGAAGUGCUUUGGAGGCAUCCUGAAGUUCUAAAAGAGUGGACAAGAUCUGGUGAGAGACGUGGGAGAGUACGCUUCUCUCAUGAUUCAGAGAAGAGACCUUAUCUUUCUCGAGUUGAAGUUAAGGCUGUUGCUGAACUAAUUAUUUCGCGAUACUUCAGUAAAAGAGGAAUAAAACCAACAGCUCUAGCUGCUCUUGCUGAAGUAUGUAGCAUGCGAUUUGUUAAUGGUGUUCGUGCACGUACAGGAUUAAUGGGAAUUGAUUAUCCUACUGCUGCCUGGCUAUACAAGGAUGUUGGCUGUCGGGCAUAUAAAGUUAUGUCUGUUGAUGAUCUCUAUAAUCCUUUGGUGUCCAUGUACUUUGGUGCAUCUUAUUUGGCCUGGCUUUCGCAGUAUGAAGGGAGAGAAAGAAGCUAUCAGUUCAUCGUGCAGGCCUAUCUGUGUGGGCCAGAGAAUGUAAAUCUUCAGGAGACAGGCCCAUUUUGGAAUAGAUUCCAGCAGGCCUUAUGCUACUAUGAAGAUCCAAAAAAGGACCAAGGGAGCUGCUGCAUACUAUGAAACAUUAAAACUAUCUUUCGGUAUCUUCUUGUACAUCUAUUACUGCAAAAGUCGAUGAUCUCUGCAUCAACUGGUAAUUAAUGUAAGGGUGCUGGAUUCCUAGAUUAUAUGAUUUCGGAUGCUGUCUCAUACAGAAAAAUAUGUUUUGGUUACCUACCUCACUGUCGAUGGACUACUAUUGAAGAAAUUGGUUUUUUUGUUGUGGGUGCCAAUUCAUUUGGCUCUUUAACUCAUAAACUUCAUUGGAAAUCAGGCCACACUGGCCGUAGCUUAAUGUUCCUUUUCCUUUCUUCAAGUGCUGUAAUUAUGUGUGGAAAUAUUUCCAAUACAUGACAGAUUAGUACU